GACUCCAAUCCUCCGCGUCGUUGGACUCCAAGCCCCCUUUUGGACUACCCCUGGCUUCCCCGAACUCUGCUCGGUUUCCCAAACCAUCGACGCCAUCCACCGCCAUCUCCCCAUUCCCAACCCACAUCCUGCUCCCGCUCCUGCUCCUCCCCCUCCUCGUCUCCAAAACCACCCCUUUCCCCACUUUCAGGAACAAUGGAGGCCAUCCAUCACCCUCUCCUUUUUCCUAACCCAUCGAGGUCAUCCACCACCCCCUCAUCCUCUUAAAAGCGUCGACAUUCACCUCCUCCUCCUCCUCUUCAUCUCCAACCUAGUUUAGAAAGCUCCGGAAGCCGAAGGGAAGCCCGACCUGGAUCUCUUCCUCUCUUUCCUCGAAAAAUCGGGAUUCGAUCUGUGAAUGAGUGAGAUCCUGUUGUGUGAGUUCUCCGACUAGUUGCUACGGACUCAGAAUUACUCCGAUCUCUUGUUUUGAUAGAAGAGCAUGGAAGGGAGCCUGGUAAGGUUGAGUUCUAUAAAAUGACUCAUACACAUCGAGAUGACAGUUUUGUACAAGAGGAGUCUAGAGAUCUGAUCGAUAGGGCAACCACACUUAUUGCGGAGCGUAUCAGUGAGUCAUCAUCAUCUGCGGAGUGCAGUAGCGUUGAGGACCAGGUGUUUACCGAGCUUAUGUGAUCAGAGUAUUAUGGUAGAGUAAAGGGUUAUGGAGUUGGAGUCACUCCCACUCAGUUGUCUGUAGUGAGCAGUAUACUCAGGAGUGUAGACAGAAUAACAACACUACAGAGGUCCGUAGGCUAGAAACACAGAUAUAAGAGAUAAGUCAGAGACAUGAUUUACAGAUGGAAGAGCUGAGACGGAGCUAUCAGAUAGAGAUUGUGUCAUUGAGGACUCAGAUGGAUCAGAUUACAUCUAAUUUACGUGGUUUUGCCUCGCAUCAGGGUCCCAAUACUUCCAAUAGUCGCUGAGAUGAUGAUACCAUGCACAAGUGAUAGAUCUCUCUCUUUUUCUUUAAGAAUGGGUUCUACUUGAAUUCCCUCUUGUUCAGUUUGAGCUUUUAGUUUAGGGCUUAUAAUUUUGGUUUCAUUGGUUAUGGGUUCUUUCGGGUGUAGCUUCGGGGUAAUCCGGGUCUGGGUAUGAUAGAUAUGGUGGUUUGUUAUGAUUGACUAACAGAUGUCCUUUUAAGAGUAUAUCUCUCUCUUAUGAACUUCGAACUGAAUGAAAUGGGUUUUAUCGUUUGUUGUGAUGCAUAGGUUGGAUUUUAUCAUUUGUUGUUGGAUUGUUGUAUAUGAUGAGGAGCUAGUUACUGUCUGCUCAUCUUCCCACUUCUACAGGAGAAUUACACCUCAAGUUUUUCUUUU